rnacentral:lncRNA from 1 species
UACUAUGUGGAACCCAGAAGAUCCACGUCUCCUGGACGUAGAAUCAGCGUGUUGGGCAUCAUUGUUUUCCUGCAAGGGUUGUGAAACUUUUCAAAGAACCAUCUGCCUUUGGGGAAGCAUUUCUGAGUUUGUCCAUUGUCAACAAUCUGUCCUUGGAUACCAUCAUGUAACAGCUGUUGCCAAGUGGAGCCGCUGUUGAAUCUGAGGCGCCUCUGGAUCCUGAUGAAACAUUGUCUUCCUUGGUUCUCCAUCAGGUAUACAGUUUUAAACCAUCACUGCAUCUCAAGUCUUCUGAAAACACCAUGUGCAUGGUCCAUGGUAUUUACAAGCAGCCAUCUACUAAGUUCCAUUGUAGGAUGUUUUCAGAUACUUGAAUAAACAAAUCUUUAACUGAAAAAAAAA